GUCUCUUAUCCCCGAACUGUGGGCCCUAAAGGUAGGGACACAUUCGUUUUGUGCGCCAACACGCCCUCCGUGCCCAGCACAGUGGUGGAUAUGGAACAAGUGCUCAAAAAGUGUUUGUUGAGUGAAUGAGCAGGUGGAGCAUGAUGGACAGAUACACAGAUGACCAGCCAAAGUCACACUGGUGCUAAGGGUCAGCUUAUCUGUUCUGUUCCAUCGCACUGAAUCCUUAGGCCUCUGGGACCCCAGGUUUGGCCUGCAUGUCAGCGUCCGCAUCUGCAGAGUGAGGACAGAGAGGCUUGGGGUUGCGCUGUGCUAAUGGGUCGUGGAAAUGUACACUGUGUAGUGAUUGUUCAUGCUGAGGUUCACGCCUGUCAAUACGCACACGAGGCAGCUCGGAGCCGGGGACAGUUCACACUGCAUGUGGCCACAGACACGCCUGACAGUGAGAGUCUCUGUAACCGCAGAUGAAGGCCCUGAUGGGUGCUUGAUAGGAACCACAGUUACUCAGCAGGUUUAAUCAAAUCAAGGUACUGAUGAAGUGGCCCCAAUUAUUUGAAAUUUAGCAUUAUGGCCAUGGUGUCAACAAGUAGGCGCUGUACCAACACAGGGUAGAAUUUGUCUACAAGAAGGAGGAAGUUGCAUUAGGGGCAGGGGAACUUGGGGGGGUCAUCCUGGAGCAAGGGACACUAAACAGGUUGAUGCUCGUGUGGAUGAGCUAAGGAGGGCUCAGCAUGACAAAAGAAAUGGAAAUAAGUCAUCUCGCCUCAUCUUGUAUCAGGUUAUAUCCCAUAGUCUGGCCAAUUGCAUACCUGCUGUUUCAUGGCUGUGAGAUUCCGAAUGGCAGGGAUCUUGUCUAAGUGUGUCUAAGUGCCACAAGCACCAAAUGCAUUCGCUUACCUGGUGCAUUGUAUUGAGUGGUUCCUAUGUGACAAGCUCUAGGCUGGGCCCUGGGAGUGCAGUGCCUGCACAAAAACCUUUAAGGUCCUACUCUCAAGAAGUUCGCAGCCUCAAGGGAGAGACAGACCUGCCUCAAAGACACGUCCACAUUGUGGGAAGUCAAGGCUGAUGUAAAUCUAUGGGAGGAGAGGUGUGUGCUGCUAUGGUUGUCCAGGGGAAGAGCUUGACUCCCCAGGGAGGCCAGGUCACUUUUCCAUGAAAGCAAUUGUUGAGCUGAGAUCUGAAGGAUGAAGAGUGGAAGUGAGGGAAACCCAAGGGGGAGGCAUAGGAAGAAGAAGACUCAAUAGAUCACGCAGAGGCCACGUGGCAGAAAGGACCAGAAGAUGUUCUUCUGUUUGGCUGAAGCAGAGAGGAAGGGAGGAUGGUGCAAGAUGAGGCUAGAGGGCUGGGAAGAGGUCAGAAGAUGCCAGCAGCCCUUGAAUCUCAUGUUAAUCAUUUUGGCCCUUAGUCUAUAAGGGAUGAAAUGCCACUGAUGCAAUUAAUGUGGUGGGCAUAAGGAUCAGGACUUACUUUUUUUUUUUUGUCUUUUUAGGGCAGCACCCCUGUAGCAUAUGGAGGUUCUCAGGCUAGGGGUUGAAUCGGAGCUGCAGCUGCUGGCCUACUCCACAGCCACAGCAAUGGGGGAUCCAAGCUGUGUCUGUGCCUACACCACAGCUCACAGCAAUGCAGGAUCCUUAACCCAGUGAGCGAGGCCAGGGAUCAAACCUGCAUCCUCAUGGAUACUAGGCAGAUUCGUUUCCACUGAGCCACAACCAGAACUCCAGGACUUACAUUUUGGAUCUUGUUCUUGUGCAUUUACUAGAAUGGAGUAGAGGUGGAUUAGGUGUAAUUUUGCCCUGGAACAAGAACAAAGUUGCUCUGGGAAUUCCAUCAUUCCUUGCAGUCUCAUAGUCCCAGUCCUUCCACAGGGUCUAAAGUAGGAGUUACAACUGCAUGCUUUACUGCCUCAUCCUCAGAGAUUGCAAAACAUUCUAGGUGUGUUGCCUGCUGGGACCUGCCCUUGGUCAUUUGCUCCUGAGAGAAACCAGGCCCUUUACAGAAGUUCUGUUUUUUUUUUUUUUUUGUCUUUUUGCCAUUUCUUGGGCCACUCCCAUGGCAUAUGGAGGUUCCCAGGCUAGGGGUCUAAUUGGAGCUGUAGCCACUGGCCUAUGCCAGAGCCACAACAACGUGGGAUCCGAGCCGCGUCUGCAGCCUACACCACAGCUCAUGGCAAUGCAGGGUCCUUAACCCAUCGAUCAAGGCCAGGGACCGAACCCGCAACCUCGUGGUUUCUAGUCAGAUUCGUUAACCACUGUGCCACAAUGGGAACUCCUUUUUAGAGAAGUUCUGAUGUGACUCUCUUGAUUUAUGGGCAUGAAGAUGCAGCUAUCUCACAAACAUCAUUGUGAUGUCACAAGAGCCUGCAUGACCUCCCCUGCAAGCCCACCACCUAGAUAAGUCAUACUGACUUAUGUAGAAAAGUCGAGGGCCUUGGCUCUGGAAGGGACAUUGGGGAUUGUCUAGACCAUCCCUUACAUUAUGUAGACGAGGACAUCGAGGCACAAGUCGCUUAUCUAAUGUCAAAAAGUCAGAUGGUGACCCUUCAGUAACUGGUGUUCACAGCCCAGCUGGUGUCAUGUCAGCACAAGAAGGGCUGAGAUGAUUCUUCUCUCCCCAUCAGGCCCCCUGUUGGAAAAUAGACCUGUAACCUUGGCCACUGCUCUAUUCCCCUCAAUCUCUCAUAUCUUAGUGCACAAGGAGCAUCUAAAACAGGCCGGCUCCGCAGUAUCUGCUACCCGAGGAUGAAGGUGACAGGUCAGAAACAAAAGUGAAGCCUGUCCUUUUCAGAGGCAUCCUCUGACUUCGAAUGACCUUUUCUCAUGAACUGGGAGACCUCUAGAAAUCAAUUGAUCCUUAUUAUGCAGAAGGAUAUGCUCAGGGUGGUAUGAUAUCAAAUUCCAGAUAUGUGGCAACCUGACUUGUCUGGUCUAUGCACUGCAAGAGGCCUCUUCCUUUGUCAUCUCUAGACCAUCAAAACCAAAAGAAAACCCACAAAGAAAAUGCCUGGGUCUCUAUAUGAACAAUUUGAGGUUAACAGUAUACAACACACAUCCAAGUAUGUCAGGACUGUCCAGUGUGAUCAUGAGUGGAGGCCCAGCCCUCUCCCUCCCCGACUCCCACAGCCCUGCUCUGCCCUCACAGUGGACCACUGGGGCCCGGGCACCAGCUAGAAAAUCGGUUCAGAAGAGCACUAGACCAAUGCAAAAUAGGAAGGGAGGGUUCAGGUUCAGAUCAGAUAUGAGUGCAGUGCUGACCGCAUGGGGGCUGGGCACACAGGGAUUUCCCUUCUAGGAAGUCGAGCCUCAGGAAGCCUUUGCUUCUCUGAACAGACCAACCUGGUUCUUCUGGAGAGCUCAGUGCCAAGAGAUUUCCCAGCUCCUUGGAGAGGAGAAGGUUGGAAGAGAGAGUGUGGAGAUGGAAAUAGCCCAUCAGCCUCCAGCCUCCAAGGGAAGCUGGAGUUGCUUUGGGAGUCCCCUGGCUUUAUCCCAGGGGAGGAGACGCCCAGUCUCAUUUGGCACAGGGGUGGAUGCCUCUUUGGGUGAAGCCCAGAUGGGGAGGGAUGGUGAGAGCCACUCUCAGGAUUCUGCUCCUUUCCCCAGUGGGGCCUCCCCUCCUUUUGUUUAGGGUGAGGUUUGAGAGUCAGAGGACACUGUCUUACCACUGCCUGCCACAGUGCCCAUGAAAAUCAGACCCCUCCCCUAUUGUAAUCCAGACAGGGGCUCAGUUUAUCAGCAGCCUCAGAGAAAAGACCCAGCCUGAGAGGAGACAGAGAGUGGGCCCAGGAAUCUGAGAAGGGCCUGGAGACCCAGAACCUUGCAAACACAUGAUCCACAUAGGGGUCUCGCUGUCCGUGUCACCUGGCUGCCUUCCGAGUACUUGAAGCCUUGGGUCUGGACUGUAGGCUGGGUCUUAGGAGGAGAGCAGAGCUGACUUGUACCUUAACCAUGUAUUGGGUCCUCAUCUCCUCUGGGGUGUGGGGGCAGGAGGAGCUUCUCUAGCUCUAGAACAUUGGUUUUUCAUCUGUUUGAAGAUCCCAUAUCAGGAGUUCCUGUUGUGGCUCAGUGGAAACGAAUCUGACUAGCAUCCAGGAGGAUGCAGGUUUGAUCCCUGGCCUUGCUCAGUGGGUUAAGGAUCCAACAUUGCCAUGAGCUGUGGUAUAGGUCGCAGAUGUGACUUGGAUCUGGUGUCACUGUGGCUAUGGUGUAGGCUGGUGGCUAAAGCCAUGAUUCAACCCCGAGCCUGGGAACCUCCAUGUGCAGUGGGUGGGCCUCCCCCCCAAAAAAAUCAGAUUUUAUGCUGCAAUUGAGGAGCACAAGCAAUGGAAGAGAGUUCAGGAGGGUAGGGGGAAAUCAAAGAUACGUUAUAUAUUGUUUUCCCCUGUAAAAGCAUCCUGUAUUCUCAAUUCCUCUUUAUUUUCCAUUCUUCCCGACAACAUUUUUCUUCCAUUGCUUUUCGAUGGCGAUGUCUGGGAAAGGAGUGACUGUGGUGGGUUUUUGAGUAAAGAGAAAGACCUGCAGUUUCACUUGUGUUGGCUGGAAGCCUUGGCUACCAUGAGCAGAUCUCUCACCCAGGCUUGUGUUUGGACUUCAUUUUGCUCAAAGAAAUGGAGAGGUAAGAAAUAUCUUUGUUGGAAUUCCCAUCGUGGCUCAGUGGAAAUGAAUCUGACUAGUAUCCAUGAGGACUCAGGUUUGAUCCCUGGGCUUGCUUGGUGGGUUGAGGAUCCAGUGUUGCUGUGAGCUAUGGUGUAGGUCGCAGACGUGGCUUGGAUCUGGCGUUGCUGUGGCUGUGGUGUAGGCCCAUAGCUGUAGCUCCGAUUCAACCCCUAGCUUGGGAACCUCCAUAUGCCGUGAGUGCAGCCCUAAAAAGACUCCCCCCCCCAAAAAAAAAAUGAAAGAAAGAAAAGAAAAAUGAAACAUCUUUGUUAUCAUCUUAAGAUUUCCCGAAGCCCCGCCUUUUGCAUUGCACUGCACAUUGGGUGGUGGAGGCAGCGUGAAGGCCAAGAGCAAAGGUUAGAGCUGGAAGGAGAGUCGGGAAGACAGUGGAGCCGGAUUGACUGGAGGCCAAAGCCAGGGAAGGAUGAAAGCCAAGCACCAGGCCACCAGGCAAAGAGGGUCCCAGGAGGAAAUAGGGGCAAAGGAGGGACCAGCACCCAGAGAAGGGGCAGGGGAGUGGGGUGGUGCCCCAGGGACAUGCCUGCCUCAGAGGCUCCGCCUGUACCCUCAGUGCCUAUCGCCCACCAGCAAAUCCUCUGUGGGAAGAGCCCCACCCAGGGCCCCAGAAGGUGAGCCAAGCCAUUUGGGAACAUCAGGGACCCAGGAGUGAGCACAGGGCAGCCUGGGAGGUACAGCAACUGCUGGGCUUCCGACCUGUCCUGCCCACACGUCCCUACCCACACCCACCCCUCCUCCUGCUUGGCCUUUCUUGCCCAGACCCCUACAGGUUUGGUUGUAGUUGAGUGGGUGACCAUCCAUCCCCCAUACCCCGAACAAAAGUGGUGUCUUUUGCUUUUGAAGGUUGCCUCUGUUAGAGCAGAAGCAGAAAUGUUGCAGGACUCUGCCUUGGAGGGCUGGAGACAUGUGUUGCUUCCUCGGUGUCUUCCAACCAUGGAAUGUUAGAAACAAACAGAAAGGGAUGGAACAGCCCUUCUGCCCCCCCUUGUUGGUUUGGUAGCUGCUGCUCAGCUCAGCAGACACCCUGGAUUAUUCCAGCCCUGAACACCCACGGCCACAGGUAUCCCUUUAAAGAGCCGCUGUGGUUCUUCCUUUUUCAGUUUGGCUAGGAAAACCCUACUCCCCAAACGUGCUCCUUCGGAAAUACCCACCCUUGCCUGGAUGCUCCCCCAUGCAGUUCUAUCUCCUGGCCAUCCCAUGGUUCCUUGGACCCUGACGCUGAAGACUGCCCAGCCCUGAGACCACGUGGGCCUCUCAGAGCGCUUCCCACGGCCCGUGUCCUGCAGCUGGCAGUGUCCUGCGUCUGCUGUCCAGGCCUCUGGGCCUCUUGGCAGUGAAGUGGGUGGAUUCUGUUCCCACUCCCUGACCCCCACUGCCCCUUAGCAACCAGCGUAGUUCCACUCUCACUUGUUUUAUACCAUCGCUUCCUACUGUUAAAAAUUAAGACCGGAGUUCCCAUGGUGGCAUAGUGAAAUGAAUCUGACCAGGAACCAUGAGGUUGCAGGUUUGAUCCCUGGCCUCGCUCAGUGGGUCAGGGAUCCAGCAUUGCUGUGAGCUGUGGUGUAGGUUGCAGACGCAGCUUGGAUCCAGUGUUGCUGCUGCUGUGUCUAAUUGGCUACAGCUCCAAUUAGACCCCCAGCCUGGGCGCCUCCAUAUGCCACAGGUGCAGCCCUAAAAAGACAAAAAAAAAAAAAAAAAAAAAA
rnacentral:lncRNA from 1 species